rnacentral:lncRNA from 1 species
GCCUGUGGCGGCGUUCCGGCGGUGUUCCGGCCAUGUAUGGGACUGUUUGUGGUAUUAUAUAUGUUCUAGUCGUUGAUACGAGCGUUUCGAUAUAUAAUAUGCAAAUUUUGGAGUUCGUAUGAAAUUGUUAUGAUUUUUACAGUUUCAUACCAAUCAAUUUAUUCGAUCCGUGAGGAUUCGAGCGUCCGAUCGACUUGUGGUUUGGUCACAUAGAUCGUGGACGUAUUCCGAAGACUUUGGGAGGUCUCGGAUGUGGUUUUGCCUCGAUUGGCGCCAUUUUGGGGGUUUUAGUUCAAAACAGGGGGUUUCGAACUUAAAUCAAAUGUAAAUCGUCACUAAAUUGGAAACGUAUGUGAAUAGGUACUUGACGAAGUACAGUGGACGAUUAUUUGUGAAUUGAGGGCUUUGUGUUUUGUUGAAGACGCAGCAGGAAUUCGAGGUGAGUAAUCUCACAAGGUUCUUUAAGAACAGAAAUACCAUUAUUGUUUCGGCGUUAAUCAUUUAACUGCAAACUAUAGUUGGUAUUAGUAGGCAUUCCUGAGCGAAUGUCUACGAAACAAUAUUGUGGAAAAAGAUGUUUUCUAUUGUUUGAAAAGUAUUGAGCUUGAUGUUACAUUUUUGAGUCAAGCGUGACUCAUUUUAAAUGUAUUGGUCCUUGUACCAAGGGUCACAGAUGGUGAGCAGGAGUUAGGAAAGCCGAAGCUAGAUGUUGUAACGUUUUUAGGUCGGUUGCGACUUAUUUAACGUUUAGCUUUAAGACCAGAUAGGGUCUAAGAAGAUUUCAUAUCACAGAUGGUGAUAGGUUGCAGACGGUGACCUUGACGUUUGAUUUCAUGACCAGACGGGGUCUGAAGAUCAUGUGUCACAGAUGGUGACAGAGCACAGAUGGUGAUAGAGCACAGAUGGUGACCUAAAUGUUGAUUUGAGACCAGACGGGGUCUGAAAUCACAUGUCACAGAUGGUGACAAAGGCAGGAAAUAGGUAAUCACGUCUGUAGUCGGACGAGUGAUUACAAUUUCAAUAGAGUUCUAGUUAUCUGCCAUGAUAGCUUAUGAGAGUAACGGUCGAGGUUGCUUGAGACUCAUAGGUACGUAGUUUAAAGGAGAGUUCCGAUGGUAUUCUUCUUUAAUUGUCUAGAUGAGACUUGAAUUGCUACUUGAUGGUUAAGUUAGCAAAUAGAGCAUGGUCAUAGAGGUGACUCAUGUUGUCCUUUC